GCUGGAGACUGACGGUAGGUGAGCUCCAGGUGGACUGUCGUCCGAGGCAUCAGGACGGAGUGGACAGACUGGCUGUAUGCAGGGGGUUGUUAACUUGCUGCAGAAAGGACAUUCUUGUCAGUCACCACAGCAAACAAGGGACUUGUCUUCUCCUGAAUGGGUUGUUCCCCUUCAUCUCAGCUCUCUGUGAAGAAAAGCUGGACUGUCAUUACCAUGUUUUUCAAGUGUUUACUAUUUGGCUGAAGAAGCUGAGAGAGUGUCUCAGUGAGGUUUGGGAAGUUUACUGGUGCUCCUUAGAUUCAGA